rnacentral:lncRNA from 1 species
CGGGCAAUUGUAUCCCCACGCGAUGCAGGAAUCGGCCGUUCUACUCCUCCUACUUAGCAAUCGAACUUUGGGAUCAGCUAUUGGAUUAAAGUGGUGAGCUUUCAUCUUUCCAAAAAGCUCUAUUUCAUGAUGUUAUUUCAUACUUUGGUUUAUUUAUGGAUGUUGGUUUUGUCUAUGGUUGGGGGCAUGUCCCAACCGAAUUUUGGUAUUCUCUUGGUUAGAAACUUUUGUAGAACUACUAUGGGUUGGUAUGGGCGGGAUCAGUAUUGGUGUAAGCCUUGGUAUUGGCAUUGGUAUUGGGGUUGAUACCGUAGGACUAAAUUUCUCACUUUUCCAUUCUUUUUUAUUUUGGGAUUAUAUAAUUAUUAUGGAACUCAUAUGAUUAUGGUUUGGUUGGUAUUGGUUAUCGGUUGGGUAUGGGAUGAUUGGACUCAUUUAGGUGGUCACAGAUAUAGACCUAUCCUAGAGUCUUGGAUUAUGUAGUAACACUAUCUUUUUAUAUGUUUGAAAUUUAGCCAACUCAGGGCAGGCGGCUGGAGGUUGGGUUAGGCAACGGGGGUGGUCUCUGGUCCCGAUCAAACUUGGGAUGCCCAUUACGACAAGGCCCCAGGUCGGGUCAUGUUAAGUUGGUAUCAGAUCUUUAGGUCCAUGGUCGAUUGAGAGUCCACAAAGUCGUGUCUAGUAGAGUCUCUUUUAGAGGUAUGUAGAAUGCCACACUUAUAAGAGAGAGGCUAAACUACAUUUAGAAAUGUUUUACUUUCUUGGUAUUCUAUUUUCAAUCUUAGAGUCUUAAGUCCUAGAAUUUCCUAUAAUCAUUGUUGUUCGUUUUUUAGAUAAUUCCUCGACGAUCUGGAAUAGAAAGAAAUUCAACUGUCCCAUCUAGGGAUAAUAUUGAUGGGUAUGCCCUACACUUGGAGUUCGCACUCAAUCUCAAGGUCCUAUCCCUGAUUGUUUUGGAGUUCCCUCAGUUGCUAGGUGAGGUGGCUAAUUCAGAAUUUUGUCAAUCUAUUCAUGUUAUUUCUCAAUUAGCUGUUGUUCAGGAUGAGCGGGAUGCAUCUAGUGUUUUAUCUAUUGACGCCACAAGGGUUGGCUAAUUUAUAAAUAUGAAUCCUCCUACUUUUUAUUGGUGUGAAGGUGGAGAAGGAUCCUCAGGCUUUCUUGGAUGAAAUGGAGAAAAUAUUUCGGGUGAUUCAGGACACGAAUGUGGAAGGGGUAAAUUUUGCAGCUUAUCAACUCAAGGAUGUUGCGUACCAAUUAUAUGAGGAAUGGGAUAGGGAUACAGGUGAUGUUGAGGAGUUAUCCUUAUGGGUGGACUUUUCUAAUGCUUUUCUGGAUCACUUCUUUUCUUAGGAGCUGAGGGAAGUAAAGAUGGAGGAGUUUAGGAAUCUUAAGCAGGGAAGAAUGUUUGUCAAGGAAUAUGCCUUGAAGUUCUAUCAAGGUAUGCUCUGGAUUUGGUGGUCGAUAUGAGAGCGAGGAUGAGAAAAUUCACUACUAGGCUAUCUCAGGAUUUAAUCCUUGAAAGAAAGACUGCUUUGCUUCUUAAGGAUAUGGAUAUCGAGGAUUAUUAUCAUAUGCAACAAAUAGGGGAUGAAAAUAGAAAGCAGAUAGAGUUUGGGAAAAGGCAGGGUAAGAGGAACAGGUUCUUUGAGCAGGGUGGUGCUCAGCAGCAAGGUGCUAGGAUAGCGAUAAGUGGCUAAUGAAGAAGUGGGGGAGUUCUAGUUCCUUCUCUACUGCUAGUGCUCCUUACCCAAAGCAGUUGGAUGACAGGCGUCCGUAAGGUGGUGAUAAUUUUCGGGAACAAGGUGCCCAAUCUCAAGUGAGUUGGGCAAAGUCGGCUUUUUCAUGUCCUCCUUUUUGGUUUUGUGGUCAUCUUCAUCAGGGUUUUUGUGAUAAAGGAAGGGACAGGUGUUUUAAAUGUGGCCAGCAAGGAUAUAUGCUCAAGAAUUGUCUGGUUAGUAAGGGUGUUUCAGGAGCGGUCAAAGCUCCAAUUGCUUUAUUUUCUGCUCCUGCACCUAGUAGUACUAUUUCUGUGUCUACUCCUAUUUCUGGUACCGGCACUGGCCGAAACAGGUUGAAUGUUCUUGCAUCUCAAAAAGAAUCUGAGGCAUCACUUGAUGUCAUUACUGGUACGUUACAACUUUUUUUUGUGAUGUGUAUUGUCUGCUUGAUCUGGGUCACUUUUUCCUAUGUGACCCCACAUGUGGUUGUAUGUUUUGGUUUUGAUCCUGAGGUUGUUUUAGAUACUUUUUCUAUUUCUACCCUGGUAGGUGACUCGAUAAUUGCUAAAAGAGUAUAGAGAGGGUGUGUGGUAUCUGUUGGUAGCAAGCAGACCUUAGUAGAUCUGUUUGAGUUGGAUAUUGGUUACAAUUUUGUUACGCAUCCUUAGAUUGUUGAACUCAUAAGGUUGUCUUUAGGUUCCCUGGUAAACCAAUUAUAGAGUGGGAGGAUGGUUCCCUAGCUUCUGGGGGAGGUUUAUUACUUAUCUUAGAGCUCGACGAUUAAUCUCCAAAGGGUGUCUUUAUUACUUAGUCUGGGUUAAAGAUUCUAACCGUAGGGUCCUUCUUUUCACUCUGAUUUGGUGGUAAGUGAGUUUUCUGAGGUCUUUCUAGGUGAUCUUCCUGGUGUUCCUCCGGAUAAAGAGAUUGAGUUUGGUAUUGAUUUGGUUCCGGAUAUCCGUCCAAUAUCUAUUCCUCCAUAUAGAAUGGCUUCGGCUGAGUUGAUAGAACUUAAGAAGCAACUUAAGUAUCUUCUAGAUAAGGGGUUUAUUCUUCUUAGUGUAUCCCUAUGGGGUGCACCGAUGUUGUUCGUGCAUAAGAAGGAUGGCUCCUUUCGAAUAUACAUUGACUAUCAACAGUUGAAUAAGGAAACAGUCAAGAACAAGUAUUCUCUUCCAAGGAUAGAUGAUUUGUUUGAUUCAUUACAAGGAGCUAAGUUUUUUUAUAAGAUAGAUCUUUGGUUUGGGCAUCAUUAGCUUAUGAUUAGGGAGGAGGAUAUCCCUAAGACAUCUUUUCGUACUCGGUAUGGGCAUUUUGAGUUCUUAGUUAUGUCAUUUCGCUUGACUAAUGCCACGACGACAUUUAUGGAUUUGAUGAACAGCAUUUUGAGGCAGUUCUUGGAUUUUUUUGUCAUUGUGUUCUUUGAUUACAUCUUGGUGUAUUCUUAAAGUGAGGUGGAUUAUGUCAAUCACUCUGUGUGGUGUUGCGGACCUUGAAUGAACAAUAGUUGUAUGCCAAGUUCUCCAAGUGUGAGUUUUGGUUGAAUAUUGUAACUUUUCUUGGUCAUAUUUUUCUAGUGAGGGGAUCAUGGUGGAUCCUCAAAAGGUGGUUGUGGUUAAAAGGUGUCCUAGACCUACGACUCCAACCGACAUUUGGAGCUUCUUGGGUUUGACUGGGUAUUAUAUGAGGUUUGUGGAGUGGUUUUUUUAUAGCUGCUUCCUUGACUAAGUUAACUCGAAAGAAGGUAAAAUUCUCUUGGUCAAAAGUGUAUAAAGGGAGUUUUGAGAAGCUUAAGUACAAGCUAACUUUGGUUUUGGCUUUGACAUUACCUGAAGGUAAUGAGGGAUUUUCGGUUUAUUAUGAUGCAUCUCGGGAGGGACUUGGUUGUGUUUUAAUGCAGCAUAGAAAGGUAAUUGCCUAUGCUUCCAGGCAGUUGAAGGUGUAUGAGAGGAAUUAUCCUACUCAUGAUUUAGAGAUAAUUGGCGGUGUUUUCUGCUUUGAAAAUCUAGCCACAUUAUUUGUAUGGAAUGCAUGUAGACAUCUUUUCUGAUCGCAAGAGUCUACAGUACGUGUUCACUUGGAAGGAGCUAAAUCUCAGGCAAAGAAGAUGCUUGGAGCUUCUCAAAGACUAUGAUAUAAGUCUUCACUAUCACCCAGGUAAAGCUAACAUGGUUGUUGAUGCUCUUAGCAAAUUGUCCAUUGGAAGUUUGGCUCAUGUGGAGAAAGAAAAGCGGGAAUUGGUGAAGGAUAUUCACCGCUUGGCCAAUCUUGGAGUUGAUCUCUUGGACUCCAAGGAUGGUGAGGUAAUGGUUCGGGAAGUGGUUAAGUCAUCUUUUGGUGCAUAGAUCAAGGAGAAGCAAGUGUUAGAUCCUAUCUUGACAAAAAUUAAGAGUGAGGCUGGUGGUAAAAAAGUAGUGGUAUUCAAGAUCAUGGUGAUGGUACUUUAUAGUACUAAGGGAGGUUGUGUGUUCCUGGUGUCGACGAUUUGCGACAAAGGGUUUUGGUUGAGGCGUAUGAAUCACACUAUGUUGUUCAUCCCAGCUUGACAAAAAUGUAUCAUGAUCUUAAGGAAAUGUAUUGGUGGAAUGGUAUGAAAAGGGAUGUGACUGAUUUUGUGGCCAAGUGCAUAGUGUGCCAACAAGUCAAAGUUGAGCACCUAAGGCCAGUGGGUUAUAUCAAGAAAUUGAUUUUCCCGAAUGGAAAUGGGAGGUAAUUAAUAUGGAUUUCAUUAUGAGUCUUCCUCAAUCUCAGAACCAAUUUGAUCGAUUUGGGUCAUCAUGGAUAGGAUGAUGAAGUCAGCUCACCUUUUGCCGGUGAGGACUAACUUUUCGGUAAAGGACUAUGCAAAGUUGUAUCUUCAUGAGACAGUAAAGCUGCAUGGGGUACCUAUUUCGACUAUCUCUGGUCGUGGUAUGUAGUUUUCUUCUCACUUCUGACAGUCAUUUCAGAAGGGAUUGGGUACUAAGAUGAGUUUGAGUACUUCUUUUCAUCCUCAUAUAGAUGGGCAAGAGGAAAGAACUAUUCAAACAUUCGAAGAUAUGUUUCGGGCAUGUGUGAUUGACUAUGGUGGCAAUUGGGUUGAGCAUCUACCUUUGGUAGAGUUUGCUUACAAUAAUAGCUAUCAUUCUAGUAUUGGGAUGGCCCCUUUUGAGGCAUUGUAUAGUAGGAGGUGUAGAUCACCUAUUGAUUGGUUUGAGCUUGGUGAGGCGGACAUGUUCGGUCCGAAUUUGAUUUAUCAGGCUAUGGAAAAGGUGAAGGUGAUUAAGAUUUGCUUAAGGCUUCCCAAAGUCGCCAAAAGUCCUAUGCGAAUGUAAGGCAUAGAGACUUGGAGUUUGAGGUCGGGGAUAAGGUAUUUCUAAAGGUAUCUACUGUGAAAAGAGUUUCGUAGUUUGGAAAGAAGGGAAAGAUUAGUCCCCCAUUUAUUGGUCCUUAUGUGGUUUUGCGGAGGGUCGGUAAUGUUUCUUAUGAAUUGGAGUUGCCAUCUAGUUUGAGCUCUAUUCAUCUGGUAUUUUAUUUCUCCAUGUUGAGAAAGUGUCUUGGUGAUCCUUCUUCGGUUAUUCCUUUAUAAGGAUUGGGUAUCUCGGAUUCUAUAUCUUAUGAAGAGGUCCUAAUUGAAAUAUUGGAUAGGAAGGUUAAUCGGUUACUGACCAAGUAUGUGGCCUCGGUUAAGGUUCUAUGGUGGAACCACAAGGUGGAAGAGGCUACAUGGGAAGCGGAGGACAUGAAGUUCAAGUAUACACAUCUAUUUUCUGCUCCUGGGAUUUAUCGAAAGGUAUGUGUUCUUCAACAUACUUUUAUUUUCAAACUUUUUUAAAAGAGAGAUUGAUAUCUUUGCAUCUUUGUUUUCUAACUUGGUUAAAGGUUGGAUUGAUAUUUCAAAAUGCAAAUGAAUCGUGCUUGUGGUUACCCUACCUUGUCCGUCAUUCAUGGAUGAAUGAUCCUAGUGGGGGAGACUGAAACACCCAGGGUUUCUAGCCCUUAAAAAAUUUCUUGGAUUUCUAGUCUCUAGACAAGAUACAACUAGGGAAAAUAACUCAUACACUAGGAUACGAGUGAUAUGGGUUAGUCGUAUGCUGACUAGUGUUCGUUGGUGGGUUGGAUUUGGUUUCUUGAAGGGAUACGACUUGGGUGGUACAAGUCAUAUCGGUGGAUACUGGUUGUUUAGUUACUUCACUUAAUCUUAGACUUGGUAGACUAAGUUGGAUCUGAGUAUGAGUGGCUCACCAUGAUCCGUAAGACGGGGUACGAGUCAUACCAUGGACUCGUAUGGUGGGCAGUGUCCAAUCCUCUUUAGAUUUUAUCUCCAAGGUGUAUAGAUCAUGGGUUUCAGUCGUAUGCAUAGAUACGACGUGGGUUAUGGGGAGUCGCACCUUGGACAGUGUUGGGUCCAAUGAAGAUGGUCUUGGGUACGAGUGGAGGGUACCACUCAUAUUAGAGGUAAUGACUAGUAUGGAAAGCCGUAUCCCUCUGACAAAAUUUUGGUGCAGUUUAAGUAAGGGUAAUCUGGACAUUUUCCCACUCAACCUAAUAAGGCCCCACGAAUUUUAACACACUUAGGAGAUUAUUUUCCCUAUUAUUCUAUUCAUUAACACUUAGAAGCUUCUCUUAAACACUCUCUAACCUCUCUAAAGUUCUUGGGCAAGGAAAGCUAGGGUUUCGUCUUAAGGAUUAAUUAGGGGCUUGUGUUGGUGGUUUUUCUCCAUCAUCUUCUUGGUUUAAAGGCAUAUUCUCUUCCCUCGUUGUUAGUUCCACUAAAGGCAUUAUUUUAUUCAAUGUUUUCAUGGUUUGAUUAUUGUAUGAUUUUGGGUUUUCAAAUAUAAUUUGGAGUUUUUAGUUAUAAAUGCUUGGUUAUGGUUUUCCCAUGUUUUAAUUAAGUUUUUAUAUGUUUUAAUUGUGGUUUUGGACUCUUGGUUGCAUGGGAAUGGUUAUUUGGUAAUUUGUUUUGGUUUUGGAAAUACUAUGCCCCCAAUAUGUUUGAUAAAAUACCUAUGAGAAUUGAUGAGUGGUGAUUUUACCACUCAUUUGCACAAAAUAUUUGUGCACACUACCAUAUUUCAUAUAAGAAAAUAAGGCAUUGUCAUUAUUUAAAUACACUAAUAUCCACAUUUUGCAGGUAUAUAGUUGAUAAGAUGAGAGGUUGUGGAUUGGAGCUAAAAGAGAUUAUAUGGAAGCAAAAGAUGUGCAGUUGAAGACCUGGAACAGUUCAGCCUUAGUUACUGCAAUUGCAGUCCUCAAGUCGCGAUCGCGGUCAGUCAAAGAUGGUCAGGAUAGUGCGAUUGUGGAACACACCCGUAGUCACGUUGGCCAUGAUCUCGGCUAAGCUGGAGUAUGACCCGGGGCAGUUUUGUAAUUUCUCUUGGAUGAAUCCCAAACCUCAUAUAGGCAAAAACCCUUUCUUCUUUGGGUAUUGUUUACCUCAUAGACAAUUUUGAAUUAGAAGCAAGAAACCCUAAUUGAGCAAGUAUGUUACUAAUUGUGGAGGCUAG